AAGAAUCUAGUUAAAAUAUAAUAAUAUAGGCUUGUCAAGUCUUAGUUACUAAAAUAGUGUUUCUUU
rnacentral:tRNA from 1 species